AGUUGGGACGUAAAGCGAGCGCAGGCGGUUCUUUUAAGUCUAAUGUGAAAGCCUUCGGCUCAACCGAAGAAGUGCAUUGGAAACUGGGAGACUUGAGUGCAGAAGAGGACAGUGGAACUCCAUGUGUAGCGGUGAAAUGCGUAGAUAUAUGGAAGAACACCAGUGGCGAAGGCGGCUGUCUGGUCUGUAACUGACGCUGAGGCCUACGAAAGCAUGGGUAGCGAACAGGAUUAGAUACCCUGGUAG
rnacentral:rRNA from 1 species